rnacentral:rRNA from 1 species
UGGGGAAUCUUGCACAAUGGGCGAAAGCCUGAUGCAGCGACGCCGCGUGGGGGAUGAAGCUUUUCGGAGUGUAAACCCCUUUCGAUCCGGACGAAUACCUCGCAAGAGGAGUGACGGUACGGAUAUAAGAAGCCCCGGCUAACUACGUGCCAGCAGCCGCGGUAAUACGUAGGGGGCCAGCGUUGUUCGGAAUUACUGGGUGUAAAGGGUUCGUAGGCGGUGCGGCAAGUUGGGAGUGAAAUCUCUGGGCUCAACCCAGAGACGGCUUCCAAAACUGCUGUGCUUGAGUGUGAGAGAGGCUCGUGGAAUUGCAGGUGUAGCGGUGAAAUGCGUAGAUAUCUGCAGGAACACCCGUGGCGAAAGCGGCGAGCUGGAUCACUACUGACGCUGAAGAACGAAAGCUAGGGGAGCAAACAGGAUUAGAUACCCCCGUAGUCC